rfam:Ictidomys tridecemlineatus contig079429, whole genome shotgun sequence.
GGGGAUAUAGCUCAGUGGUAGAGUACAUGCCUAAUAAGCAUGAGGACCUGGGUUCAAGCCCUAGUGCUACCA